rnacentral:tRNA from 1 species
GUUUCCUUCGUCUAGACGGCCAAGGACACUGGGCUCUCAAUCCAGGAACACGGGUUCGAAUCCCGUAGGAAACGCCA